GCGCGCGUAGCUCAGUGGCAGAGCAUCUGUUUGACGUACAGAAGGUCAGAGGUUCGAAUCCUCUCGCGCGCACCA
rnacentral:tRNA from 1 species